AAAAUUUUAAGUUAAAUAAACUAAUAAUUUUCAAAAUUAUAAUUAUAAAUUUAAAUUUUA
rnacentral:tRNA from 1 species